GAAUGCUGACAUAAGUAACGAUAAUGCGGGUGAAAAACCCGCACGCCGGAAGACCAAGGGUUCCUGUCCAACGUUAAUCGGGGCAGGGUGAGUCGACCCCUAAGGCGAGGCUGAAAAGCGUAGUCGAUGGGCAACGGGUUAAUAUUCCCGUACUGGUGGUAACUGCGAAGGGGGGACGGAGAAAGCUAAAUCAUCCGGGCGACGGUUGUCCCGGUUUAAGCGUGCAGGUGGACUGACCAGGCAAAUCCGGUCGGUUGUUAACACUGAGGCGUGACGACGAGCCACUACGGUGGUGAAGUGAUUGAUGCUCUGCUUCCGGGAA
rnacentral:rRNA from 2 species